rnacentral:rRNA from 1 species
GAUGAACGCUGGCGGCGUGCUUAACACAUGCAAGUCGAACGGAAAGGCCCUGCUUGCAGGGUACUCGAGUGGCGAACGGGUGAGUAACACGUGGGUGAUCUGCCCUGCACUUCGGGAUAAGCCUGGGAAACUGGGUCUAAUACCGGAUAGGAGCCAUUUUUAGUGUGAUGGUUGGAAAGUUUUUUCGGUGUAGGAUGAGCUCGCGGCCUAUCAGCUUGUUGGUGGGGUAAUGGCCUACCAAGGCGGCGACGGGUAGCCGGCCUGAGAGGGUGGACGGCCACAUUGGGACUGAGAUACGGCCCAGACUCCUACGGGAGGCAGCAGUGGGGAAUAUUGCACAAGGGGCGCAAGCCUGAUGCAGCGACGCCGCGGGGGGGAUGACGGCCUUCGGGUUGUAAACUCCUUUCGCUAGGGACGAAGCUUUUUGUGACGGUACCUAGAUAAGAAGCACCGGCUAACUACGUG